AGCAGCCUUGAUGGUGCGAGUGAUGAUGCAUGAUAUACAUCCCCUUAUGCUCUUCUUCAUUCUCCACAUCCUUCCAUUUCCUACCCACAAUACACACGCUUUCUUCUUUUCUCCUUAUAUAUAUUUUUUCUCUCCCUACAUUUUUUAUUCUAAAACUCACUUGCAUUUAUCUUCCAUAUUUAAUAAGUUGGCAAAUUACAUAAAGCACUAAGCAACUAAGCACAAUUAU